CAGGCAGCCAGAGUUUGAGGCAGCCGUGGAGCUCCAUAAGGAGCUAGAAUUCAUAAAUUGUGGCUGCCGGCUGCAAGGUCUAUUAUUGCUGCAGGAGGUUUCCAGCAGUCGCUGUUCCAUAAUCCCAAAUGAAACCAAUGGAGUCACAAACUCAGGCUGAGGUUUUAAAAGCUACAGAUCUGAGAACAGAUUACACAGUGUAAAUCGUGGAAGGUCCUCUGAAAGACACUAUACCCACCAGCGCUAACAAACUUGAGCAAGCUCCAGGCAAUCUGGCCAUACCACCCAUUUUGGGAAACACUACAUUUGCAGACUUAGUUACCUGGU